GGAAGGCAGAGAGAAAGCGAGAGAGAGAGAGAUGGAGAUGAGUGAAAGGGAGGGAGGGAGGAGUAUCUGGAGGCUGAUGAUUUUGUCUUACAUCACUGAGCAUCUCUUGGUAAGGACAGAAUCCUAACAGUUCUAACUGGUUUGUAAAGGUUUAAUCAGAACCGAGCCUGCACGACUCCUCAAUGAGUGCACAUUAAAGAUCAACAGCGAUCAAGGUUUGGGCAACAUAAAAGCAACCAAUAGCAUCGAGGGACUGCUGCACAUUGCCUAAAGACACAGCUGAUUCACCUUCACAACACAACAAAAAAACUUCACAAGCUGAAACAUGGAGAGCAUAGAGAGUAAAGCAUCCACCAUUUCUCCACAGAAACAGACGGUAAAAAACCGAUCCAAGUCCACGGAUGAAGUACAGCAAGCCAAAAAGGCCUUUCACACACCACAGAAAUCUCUCCCAGCCAAACCCGAAACUGAAAAACUGGAGGAGGCCACAGAACUGAACGCCUCAUCGGAGGAGUUCAAAUGAAACUUUGCGGCUUUGAGACUUAAAUCAGCAGGAAUGAUGGGUAAUAAUGAGAGGGUGAUUCAGUGUGUCUGUUUAUACCAUUAUGACUCAGAAUUACAAGUGUAGCUGGCAAAAUCACAAGUCAUUUGGAAAACAGCCAACAACAAUCAUGUGUAGCUUUUUAAUUUGUGUGAUAAUGUAUUAAAAAAUAAACAAAUGCAGAACUGGAUCACGGUGCAGUGUCUGUAAUGCAAAUGUAAUUCAGUGUAAAGUGGCAUGUAAAGUCUCUAAAUGAAAAUGAAAUAGACAAAACCUUAAAUAUAUCAGUAGUAUUUGUACUGUAACUUAUUUGUGAACCUGCCUGUAAAUUACAUAAUUUACUUUUGAUUAUUAAAUUCACAUUGAUUUCAAUCUUUGACAUUUAACCAAUCACUGUCAUUUAAAAAAGUUCAAUACAGUUAAAAUAAACUUUUAUUUGCUUUUUAAUAAUUCUAUGUACUAACAUUAACAAAGAUUAAUAAAUGCUGAAAAACUA